GCCGGGUGCGGUGGCUCAUGCCUGUAAUCCCAGCACUUUGGGAGGCUGAGGUGGGUGGAUCACCUGAGGUCAGGAGUUCAAGACCAGCCUGGCCAACAUGGUGAAACCCCAUCUCUA
rfam:Pan troglodytes isolate Yerkes chimp pedigree #C0471 (Clint) chromosome 11, whole genome shotgun sequence.